rnacentral:rRNA from 1 species
UACGGAGGAUGCAAGCGUUAUCCGGAAUGAUUGGGCGUAAAGCGUCCGCAGGUGGCAGUUCAAGUCUGCUGUCAAAGGCCGGGGCUCAACCCUGGAGAGGCAGUGGAAACUGAACAGCUAGAGAGCGGUAGGGGCAGAGGGAAUUCCCAGUGUAGCGGUGAAAUGCGUAGAGAUUGGGAAGAACACCGGUGGCGAAAGCGCUCUGCUAGGCCGCGACUGACACUCAGGGACGAAAGCUAGGGGAGCGAAUGGGAUUAGAUACCCCAGUAGUCCUAGCCGUAAACGUUGGAUACUAGGCGUUGAGAGUAUCGACCCUCUCAGUGUCGUAGCUAACGCGUUAAGUAUCCCGCCUGGGGAGU